GGAAGGUGAAGGGUGGAGGGGGUAGAUUCCAGCCUCCGUCUCUUUAUCUCCCUCUGGUUAGAUAACAAGGGCUUCCUGCUGCACCGGUUGAUCACUAGAGCGGGGGAGGAGGGUGAGUGGUGGUUUGUUAGGACGAGGAUCCUCUGGCACUCAAAAGAUUAAGCACCUUACUCUAAACUAAUGCACUUUAUUGAGAUGGGAUUUGAUUAGUUGUUUUUUAUUUUUAUUUUAUUUUUUUUUUCAAUGUGUGUAAACGUGUGUGUUUGGAAUCGGUGAGCGCACACAUCUGGUGUGUGUGUGUUUGUAGCUGACCCAGACGGGGGGGCGGUGAAUGCGGGGUGAACGGUCGGUUUUCAAAGUCAGGGGGACCUUUAUCAGAGAGCAAAUCCUUUCUCAAAAGACAAACACUGUUGAUAUUUCUCUUGUUGAGCAUUUUUUUACAUUUAUAUAAAAAGUUAAAGCUAUUGAAAAAAAUGGAGUAUAAAAACUUGAAGAUUUGCACUUGCCUAAAAAAAGAAAUAAGAAAAACAACAAAAAAAAUCCAACAAGUGGGGUUAGAUAUAGAAGUGAAUAUUUUUGUGAAUGUGUGAGUGUGUGCGUGUGUGUGUGUGUGUGUGUUGUUGAUACAGUCUGCACAAUGUUAUUUUUUUCUUUUAGUUGCUUACCAAGGUGUAUGAAACAUAAGAGGCCAUUUUUGUCUUAUUUUUUCAGUGGAGACGGUGAUUUUCUCUUCAUGUUCAGCUUAUUUGUCCCUUUUUCCAGACAGAGAUUUGGUUUGAGAGUGUGACUGAAUGAGAGAGAGGGUAAAUCGCACAAACAUCCUUUCUCUCACCAGCUCUUCAUCCCCAGAUUUAGAAAAACAACAACAAACCCAACUUUCAUAUUUGUAAAUGGUAGCUUUGUUCGUUUCCCUCAGCUUUGUUUUAUGGAGUCCUGUAAGGAUCGGCAGAUGUGAUGAGUCAUGGGGGUUAUUCGUGUGCGUGCGUGCGUGCGUGUGUGUGUGUGUGCGUGCGUGCGUGCGUGCGUGGGUGUGAGAAUGGAAGACAUGUUCAUUACUGUUCAUAGAAGUGAGUUAAGACUACAGGUACUCGUUUUGUUUGUGCUUUUUUGUUUUCUAUGUGUAUGAAUGCACAUUUGUGCCUAAGAACUUUGGUAGGGUGCAUGGCCAUUGAGACAUUAACUCUUUUUUUUUAAGAGCGGAUGCGAUGUGUGUCGGUGCUCAGCACAUUGUAUGUAAAGUAUGUAAGUUUAUAUCGUAAAUAUUUCUAGUUCAGUUCGUCGGGGAGGGGAGGGCGGGGUUUGAGCAAUCCAUCGGAAGGUUAGUCCAGUUCGAUUUCCCGGGGUGUGAUCACGUUGCCUUUUGUCAGCUCUCGAUCUUGUGAAUGAAAGGUGUCGAGUUUCUGACUGGAUUUAAAACAAAACAAACAAAAAAAAACAAGAAAAAAAUCUAGCAUCUUAAUGUGCAAGUGCACAUCAGGGUGCAUGACAUGUUAGCAUAUUGUGUUACUUAUUCGUUGUUGCAAUUUGAUAAUGACGAGUUCGUUUUUUUAAUAAAAAAAUAUAUGGAAUAUAUACAUUAUAUACAAAGUUUAAAAAGUAUUUCGACUAAGAUAAUGAGCACUUGGGGCUGCUAUUUUUGUUGUGUGUAUUUUUAUUUUUUUUCUUAUUUUUUUAUUUCAUUAUUGCCAUGUGAAGUGUGUAUUUUCUUUCUUUCUUAAGAAAACAUUGAAUGUAUUCCAAAAAAUUUACAAACCCGUGCUGAUAACAGAGUUCUUUUGUUGUUUUUCUUCGGAAGAUUUCAAAAAAUGGAAACAAAAUACAAAAAAUACCUUCAAAGAGGUUUUCAUUUACACAGUGGGGAAGAAAAACAAAUGGGGAAAAAAAUAAAACUCGGGAUGGAAACAGUUGAACACACUGCCUCUACAAUCCUGGUUGUAGUGACUCAGAAUUUAAAAAAGAAAGGACUUUUUUCUAUUCCAUACUGGAGCUUUGGUUGUUUACAAGCCACGUGGAUUUAACUGUGGGUGCAGUUUAUUUUAUUUUUUUAGUUCCCACAUUAAGACAGGUGGGGUUUGCAAGUGCGCUUCUGCCAUACGGACAAUGAGUGGUGUUGGGCUUUGUUUUUGUUUUUUUGUUGUUUUUUUUUCUCGAUGAGCGGCGAGCAUCAACGGACAACGUCCUCUAAUUUUCUGCCUCGUUUUGUGGAAAACUAACUUUGUUAGGGGAGGCUGCAUAAAGCUGGAUGGAACUGAAGCGUUUGUGCGCUCGUCUUCAACUCGAGCCUUGUGAGCGCUCACACCCUGCCCUCACCAACUCACCUAUGCACUUUUGUUCAUUCAAGCUGUGAGGUACAAUUCUGGGGAUGGGAGCACAAAUACAACAGGAGGAAUGCUACGACUUGGACUGAGUCACAGGAAACUGGUUCCAAAACUGAAACGAGAGACUUGGAGAAGCCUGUCUCCUCCCACCUCCUGUAUAUAAGCAUAUUUUUGUAUUACCUUUCAGAGUAGAAAAGAGAAAUUUUCAAAUGGAUGAAGGAAAACUGGUGGGACAUUGACUAUAUGGAGUGAAUGUUCUUGAUGAAAACCAAUCUUUUUGGAUAUAGUUUUAAAUGGACUCUGUGAGUUUCCCUUUGUAUGCCAGUAAUCUAAGAAAACAAAAAAGCAGAAAUGUGGAUGGAAGGGAAACACGUGUGGACUGAGGCUCCAAGACUCAUGGUUACUUCUAACAAUGGAUGCAGUGGCCACAUAAUAAGCCCAAGAGUUUAAUCAACAUGAGGCGGACUUGGGUCGGAGAGUGGAUGGUGAAGAUGCUUCCACCUGGUCCACCAAUCUGAGAGCUGCGCUCAGGACUUCAGGAGGAGAAAGGCAUGGAGCUCGGCUUUGCUUUAUUUGCUGCCCUCUGCGAGGAGGAUUUAAUCUACAGCCGAUCCGUGAGUCAGUUUGAGUAAAGCUGCCCUUUAAACCUCCCAAAGACUCUGGUCUUGGCCUCGGACUGAGCAGGCUGUCAUCGGUCGGAUACCAACCAUCAGUCCCUUCUGCGUUGGAAGUCUGGAGCUCUGGAUUUGAUUAGAUGCUCUCCAGUGAGGAAGAGGACAAAUAGGCACGCGUUGCCAUGGUGAUCAUAGCUCAUCUCUGCCCGAAGCUCCUGGAUGGUUGCGUAGAGGUCUUCUAAAACCCACCCUCCUGCCUAGAAAUCAAAGACAAAAUAAUGUAGAGGAGUUGCUGUAGGUCUGGGCUGGUGGAAACUCCUACAGCGGUGGAACUGGAUGGAAUCCAAAAAAAUAAGUUUUGUACAAAAAAAAAGACUCAAACACAUGACAGGUUACACAACGCAGAAAUUCUCAAGUCCAAAGGAGUUGCAAACAGACUACAUGCACACUUACAGCUAACGUUACAGUGGCUCCUCUAGAACCAUCUACACACACACACAUCAACUCAUCAAUAUACACGAUGAGCUUUGUAAAUAGUGUACUAUACCUUUUGUUUCUUCUCAUAGAGGGUUUUGGCUUUAUUUGUUUGUUCAACAUGCCUUAUUUUGUAUAGUUAAGUCUCGAAUGGCUAACUGAAAAUGUUCUCAACAAUGAGUGUUAGUUGGAAACCACCUUGUUAACUGUUUUCUGUUGGCUUAAAGAGCUGCGAUGCAUAAACCUCAUCCAUCCACUCACCUUUAGUUACCAGCUAACUACACACACAGAGCAGGAAGUGUUGACUUUCUUUUUUUUUAAUCUUUUUGCUGGUGGUAGGCUUUUGUUUUCACUAAAAUGGAGAGUGAAUUUGUUCAGAUUUAGGUGAUUUUUGAUGGUGCAGGCUCAAAAAGAGCUGGAGUCUGUGCGGUGGAGCUGAGCUGAUCGGGGCAAAUUGGUGUCUAAUUAGGAUCCUAGUUAAAAAGGCAGUUGGGGUAAAUAAGUUUCCUUUUUGUUUAACACUCCAGAAGAUUUGGUAAGAGAUGCAUAUAUUGUCCUAUAAGGACAAGCUUUAUAUAUUAAUCACAUGAAUUUUGACAGAUUAAUUGGGUGGUGAACAUCUUCAAUAGCACUGCAUAGGAGUUAACCAGUCCAUUGUGUAAGCCUGGACUAUGUUUGUCAAAUUACAUUUUAAAAAAAGGGUUUUUUGGUCACGUAUUAGGUUUUUGUGACAUUUAUAGCCACACAAUUGGCUGUUUCUACCACCUAUUAACCUUCUAAUAAAUGCCCAUGGAGGUCAAACUCAUCCCAGCAAGACUUUGGUACGCCGCGACACUUUGAGAUUAUAAACAAAUCUUGGACAAGCUUUUAACUAUGCAAUAAAGUCUAAUUUGCCUACAAACUCCUGUUUUUAAGCUGAAUAUGUGAGCUUAAUCAUUGCUCAGUCUGCUUUUCUAUUUUACUGCACUACAAAGGCUUUUAUUAUCACGUUCACUAGUUUCUGGUUCAAACACAACUCACUGAUUGGUGCACGGGUGGAUAUGAAUUUGCAGAAUGGUUUGAUGAUAAUUUUACUCCGGUCAGCUCAGCUCCUCUCUAACAAGUCUGUAAUUGUUGUUGGAUAUAACAGCAUACUUUAUAUUUGAUGAAACUGUUUCAGAGAAGAACAACAGAGCUGUGUAAAUAGUUUGACUCAUGUUUGAAGAACAAAAUAAAUACUAAAUAAACCACA